UAAAAGGCAAUGAAAUGGGAAGAGUACAAGGUAACACCUAAAGAGAGGGAAAUAUAAGCUGAGAAUUUCCCAGGCAUGUUGACUUGGAAUGUCGCCCAUGAUGCUGCUUCUUUGAAAUGAUAGUAGAAGAAGCCGGAUAAACUCCGUUAACAAUAUAGAGUGUGCGGGCCUAUUUUGGCUUGCAAACAAAGGUGGUACCACGGAAGCAAUCUUUUCGUCCUUUAU
rnacentral:ncRNA from 1 species